AGGGAAGUAGUUCAAAGGUAGAGCACCGGAUUUUUUAUACUCUUCGCUGUAGCGUUUAUCUCAGCAMAUAGAGUUCCUUUUUAAAAUCURUGAUUCCGGUUGUUGCUGGUUCGAAUCCAGUCUUCCCUGCCA
rnacentral:tRNA from 1 species